AUGGCCCUCCGGAUGGCGUUCUUUCAAAAGGUGAUGAGUGGUUGUGGUGCGCUGGCUUUCAUCUGGGCCACCGUUGUGCUGCUCGGUGGAUUCUCCACGCUGAUCAAGCAGAAGGACUUCUGGUUCGUAACCAUCAUCGUCUUCAUGGAAGCUACCUGGCUUUUUAACAAUGCAAAAUCUGAGGACCAGUUCUUCUUUCGCCUAGCUGAAACAAUGGUAAACACAGAAAACGUUGCAAUUCUAGGGCGUGGAAGCUGGCAGAGACAUGCAAGCACUGAAGAUUCCAUAGAUGAGAUGAUGCCCGAGUUACAAUCUGCAUUUUCCUCUCAUAGAUCUUAUUGCUUCGGAUUCCUCUACACAAGUCUAGUCGGGUACGUGCAGCUCGCCGCACUCAUUGCUUGUAUUGUUAUGUCUUCAUUGCGUCUGAGAAGACAAGAUUAUGUUGAUGCUUGGAAUCAAGAGGACGAUGAUCAUAAGAACAUUAGGCUGUCCCUGAACAUAUUCUACGCACUGGUGCUCAGCCAAUGCCUUCUCUAUUUCGUGUCUGCGAUAGUGGCAAGCCCAUUGAAACGGAUGUUUGUGGUUUGUUUGAAAUAUAAGCUAGGAGUUUGGGGGUUUCUAGCUGUUGCUCGCUAUCUACAGGAAUGCCUUCUAAAAUGCAUUAGUGGGGAUCUUCGUGAGGCAGUCAACAUGGACUUGGUUUCCUUUGCAAAGCAGAAGUUGACCUCUAACUCACUGGAUGACCAGCUGCUGGGAAUUCGUAUUCUUGACCACCUCCUCAGAAUCAAGGAACACAAAGCAAUGGUGCUCACGAAGAUUCGAUCUUCUCUUGAUACUGUCGAGAAAGCAGUCUACAUGCUGGGCUUGAAGAAAGAUGCGGAACAAGACACCAGGGGGCAUGCUGCGCGCGUGUUGCUCGAGCUCGCGCCUGACCUUCAGGUCGAGAGCUUUCCUGGUAUUUUCCAGUCUAUUUCUUCACUGCUUAUCACACACAAGACAAAGAUCAGUGGGACCUUUAGCAACUCAAUCCGUGUGAGCAAAGAGCUCACAUUGCUUGGUGUAGAUAUUCUUGACAAACUCCUGACUAAUCCGGAAAACCGUGCGGAGGCGAAGAAUGCCAAGAACCUGCUCUCCAAGAUCCUAGACAUUACAAGCUGCCAGGAUGAAAAAACUCUAGACUCUAAUAUUGAUAAAAUUAUAGUCGAGAAAUCACUAAAUGUCUUGCGCAAGCUUGUGAGCACAGCUGGUGAGACCGGUGAGGAGCUCAGGUGCCAAGUAUCCAAGAAUAUACACACCAUACGGAAUAUCAGAAAGUUCAUCAUAGAUUAUGCUGAAAGCCAACCAGCGAUGCUUGCUCAAGCAGCAGACAUCCUUGCAUGUCUAGCUUUAAAUGACAAUGCCAGGAUGGAGAUAGAAAGGUCACACCUAAUCAUCUGGAAACUCAUUAGUCUCCUAGCUGAAGACAGUGAUGAAGGCCAAGAAAGCUCUCUGAGAGUGUCAACCGGAGUCAGAAUGUCGGCCGUCGAAGCGUUAGUACUACUCAGUGCUCCUAUCAAAGAAAAUACCAUGCUCAACGCAGUGAGUGGAAGGAGCAUCAUGGCCAUAUUGUCAGAAACUAAGCUGCAAGACAUGCAACGAAUUGUGUCUACACUCUCCGAAGAGUCCGCAGAGCACAGAAUUAUGGUGGCGAAAUUCUUGCAGAAUCUUCGGGGUUACCAGGGACCACAUUACGGUGAUCAGCUGGAGACAGUCAACAAAGCUCUACCUAAGGUAUUGGAAGCAAUCAAACAUGCAUUGGAUAAAAUAGAAGGUGUCGGUGGUUCUGGCGAACCUUCUGAUCAUGAAAUGGAGGCGCUCAUGAUAAAUGAACAAGGCAAGCUGCUGGAGAGCUUUAUUGGCUUGUGCAUGCAAAUCUGCACCAGCGGGAAUGCAAAGCAAUUCACUAACGCGCUGAGGAAUGCCGAGAUUACAGACGAUAUGUUCGUCCAGAUGCUUAGGAAGAUACUGGAGUUGUACAAGUCGCCAUCUUCUGAUGCUCCGGGCAUAAGAAGGGUGGUGAUUCAACAAAUGAACUGGAUGAUGGCUAGGGAUAGCAAGUACAUCAACAUUUUCCUGAGGCAUGAGAUGGAUAAGGCACUGAAAGAAGUAGCACAGACGGCACUGAAGCUUGAGAAUUAUUGGUUCUUUCGUUUUGACGUUGGGACUUUUGGGCAUGAUGAAUCCAUUUAUUCUCUUCUGAGCAUUUCGCCACUACUGCAGGCUGGUGGCUCCGGCUUAUAG
rnacentral:rRNA from 1 species